AAAUUGAGAGUUUGAUCCUGGCUCAGGAUGAACGCUGGCGGCGUGCCUAAUACAUGCAAGUCGAACGCUUUGUGGUUCAACUGAUUUGAAGAGCUUGCUCAGAUAUGACGAUGGACAUUGCAAAGAGUGGCGAACGGGUGAGUAACACGUGGGAAACCUACCUCUUAGCAGGGGAUAACAUUUGGAAACAGAUGCUAAUACCGUAUAACAAUGACAACCGCAUGGUUGUUAUUUAAAAGAUGGUUCUGCUAUCACUAAGAGAUGGUCCCGCGGUGCAUUAGCUAGUUGGUAAGGUAAUGGCUUACCAAGGCGAUGAUGCAUAGCCGAGUUGAGAGACUGAUCGGCCACAAUGGGACUGAGACACGGCCCAUACUCCUACGGGAGGCAGCAGUAGGGAAUCUUCCACAAUGGGCGAAAGCCUGAUGGAGCAACGCCGCGUGUGUGAUGAAGGGUUUCGGCUCGUAAAACACUGUUAUAAGAGAAGAAUGACAUUGAGAGUAACUGUUCAAUGUGUGACGGUAUCUUACCAGAAAGGAACGGCUAAAUACGUGCCAGCAGCCGCGGUAAUACGUAUGUUCCAAGCGUUAUCCGGAUUUAUUGGGCGUAAAGCGAGCGCAGACGGUUAUUUAAGUCUGAAGUGAAAGCCCUCAGCUCAACUGAGGAAUUGCUUUGGAAACUGGAUGACUUGAGUGCAGUAGAGGAAAGUGGAACUCCAUGUGUAGCGGUGAAAUGCGUAGAUAUAUGGAAGAACACCAGUGGCGAAGGCGGCUUUCUGGACUGUAACUGACGUUGAGGCUCGAAAGUGUGGGUAGCAAACAGGAUUAGAUACCCUGGUAGUCCACACCGUAAACGAUGAGUGCUAGGUGUUUGAGGGUUUCCGCCCUUAAGUGCCGCAGCUAACGCAUUAAGCACUCCGCCUGGGGAGUACGACCGCAAGGUUGAAACUCAAAGGAAUUGACGGGGACCCGCACAAGCGGUGGAGCAUGUGGUUUAAUUCGAAGCAACGCGAAGAACCUUACCAGGUCUUGACAUCCCUUGACAACUCCAGAGAUGGAGCGUUCCCUUCGGGGACAAGGUGACAGGUGGUGCAUGGUUGUCGUCAGCUCGUGUCGUGAGAUGUUGGGUUAAGUCCCGCAACGAGCGCAACCCUUAUUACUAGUUGCCAGCAUUCAGUUGGGCACUCUAGUGAGACUGCCGGUGACAAACCGGAGGAAGGUGGGGAUGACGUCAAAUCAUCAUGCCCCUUAUGACCUGGGCUACACACGUGCUACAAUGGCGUAUACAACGAGUUGCCAACCCGCGAGGGUGAGCUAAUCUCUUAAAGUACGUCUCAGUUCGGAUUGUAGGCUGCAACUCGCCUACAUGAAGUCGGAAUCGCUAGUAAUCGCGGAUCAGCACGCCGCGGUGAAUACGUUCCCGGGUCUUGUACACACCGCCCGUCACACCAUGAGAGUUUGUAACACCCAAAGCCGGUGGGGUAACCUUCGGGAGCCAGCCGUCUAAGGUGGGACAGAUGAUUAGGGUGAAGUCGUAACAAGGUAGCCGUAGGAGAACCUGCGGCUGGAUCACCUCCUUUCUAAGGAA
rnacentral:rRNA from 1 species